AGUGAACGCUGGCGGCAGGCCUAAUACAUGCAAGUCGAACGGCAGCACAGCAGAGCUUGCUCUGUGGGUGGCGAGUGGCGGACGGGUGAGGAAUACAUGGGGAAUCUGCCCAGUCGUGGGGGAUAACGUAUGGAAACGUACGCUAAUACCGCAUGCGCCCUACGGGGGAAAGUCGGGGACCGCAAGGCCUGGCGCGAUUGGAUGAGCCCAUGUUCGAUUAGCUAGUUGGCGGGGUAAAGGCCCACCAAGGCGACGAUCGAUAGCUGGUCUGAGAGGAUGAUCAGCCACACUGGAACUGAGACACGGUCCAGACUCCUACGGGAGGCAGCAGUAGGGAAUAUUGGACAAUGGGGGCGAACCCUGAUCCAGCCAUGCCGCGUGAGUGAAGAAGGCCCUCGGGUUGUAAAGCUCUUUUGUCCGGAAGAAAAGCAAUCGGUUAAUACCGGUUGUUCUGACGGUACCGGAAGAAUAAGCACCGGCUAACUUCGUGCC
rnacentral:rRNA from 1 species